AUUGAACGCUGGCGGCAUGCUUUACACAUGCAAGUCGAACGGUAACAGGGUGCUUGCACCGCUGACGAGUGGCGAACGGGUGAGUAAUGCGUCGGAACGUGCCGAGUAGUGGGGGAUAACGCAGCGAAAGUUGUGCUAAUACCGCAUACGUACUGAGGUAGAAAGUGGGGGACCUUCGGGCCUCACGCUAUUCGAGCGGCCGACGUCUGAUUAGCUAGUAGGUGAGGUAAAGGCUCACCUAGGCGACGAUCAGUAGCGGGUCUGAGAGGAUGAUCCGCCACACUGGGACUGAGACACGGCCCAGACUCCUACGGGAGGCAGCAGUGGGGAAUUUUGGACAAUGGGCGAAAGCCUGAUCCAGCCAUGCCGCGUGUCUGAAGAAGGCCUUCGGGUUGUACAGGACUUUUGUCAGGGAGGAAAUCCCUAGUGCUAAUAACACUGGGGGAUGACAGUACCUGAAGAAUAAGCACCGGGUAACUACGUGCCAGCCGCCGCCGUAAAAC
rnacentral:rRNA from 1 species